rnacentral:rRNA from 1 species
GACGAACGCUGGCGGCGCGCUUAAUACAUGCAAGUCGAGCGAGAACCAGGACUUCGGUCCUGGGGACAGCGGCGAACGGGUGAGUAACACGUGAGUAAUCUGCCCUCAGCACCGGGAUAGCCCAGGGAAACUUGGAUUAAUACCGGAUAGCCCGACAGCCUUUCGGGGCGGUCGGAAAAGGUAGCUUUGGCCUCUGGCUGAGGAUGAGCUCGCGGCGGAUUAGCUUGUUGGCGGGGUAANGGCCCACCAAGGCGACGAUCCGUAGCUGGUCUGAGAGGACGAUCAGCCACACUGGGACUGAGACACGGCCCAGACUCCUACGGGAGGCAGCGGUGGGGAAUAUUGCACAAUGGGCGGAAGCCUGAUGCAGCGACGCCGCGUGAGGGAUGACGGCCU